AGAACGAACGCUGGCGGCAUGCCUAACACAUGCAAGUCGAACGAUCUCUUCGGAGAUAGUGGCGCACGGGUGCGUAACGCGUGGGAAUCUGCCCUUGGGUUCGGAAUAACAGUUGGAAACGACUGCUAAUACCGGAUGAUGACGUUAAGUCCAAAGAUUUAUCGCCCAGGGAUGAGCCCGCGUAGGAUUAGCUAGUUGGUGAGGUAAAGGCUCACCAAGGCGACGAUCCUUAGCUGGUCUGAGAGGAUGAUCAGCCACACUGGGACUGAGACACGGCCCAGACUCCUACGGGAGGCAGCAGUGGGGAAUAUUGGACAAUGGGCGAAAGCCUGAUCCAGCAAUGCCGCGUGAGUGAUGAAGGCCUUAGGGUUGUAAAGCUCUUUUACCCGGAUGAUAAUGACAGUACCGGAGAAUAAGCUCCGGCUAACUCCGUGCCAACGACGACCGCGGU
rnacentral:rRNA from 1 species